GAUGAACGCUGGCGGCGUGCCUAAUACAUGCAAGUCGAGCGAACAGACGAGGAGCUUGCUCCUCUGACGUUAGCGGCGGACGGGUGAGUAACACGUGGAUAACCUACCUAUAAGACUGGGAUAACUUCGGGAAACCGGAGCUAAUACCGGAUAAUAUAUUGAACCGCAUGGUUCAAUAGUGAAAGACGGUUUUGCUGUCACUUAUAGAUGGAUCCGCGCCGCAUUAGCUAGUUGGUAAGGUAACGGCUUAUCAAGGCGACGAUGCGUAGCCGACCUGAUAGGCUGAUCGGCCACACGGGAACGGAGACACGGUCCAGACUCCUACGGGAGGCAGCAGUAGGGAAUCUUCCGCAAUGGGCGAAAGCCUGACGGAGCAACGCCGCGUGAGUGAUGAAGGUCUUCGGAGCGUAAAACUCUGUUAUGAGGGAAGAACAAAUGUGGAAGUAACUAUGCACGGCUUGACGGUACCUAAUCAGAAAGCCACGGCUAACUACGUG
rnacentral:rRNA from 1 species